rnacentral:rRNA from 1 species
UACGUAGGGUGCGAGCGUUAAUCGGAAUUACUGGGUGUAAAGCGUGCGUAGGCGGUUCGUUAAGUUCGUUGUGAAAGCCCCGGGCUCAACCUGGGAACUGCAAUGGAAACUGGCGGGCUUGAGUGUUGGAGAGGGAAGCGGAAUUCCUGGUGUAGAGGUGAAAUUCGUAGAUAUCAGGAGGAACACCGGUGGCGAAGGCGGCUUCCUGGACAAUUACUGACGCUGAGGCGCGAAAGCGUGGGGAGCAAACAGG